rnacentral:rRNA from 1 species
UACGGAGGAUGCGAGCGUUAUCCGGAUUUAUUGGGUUUAAAGGGUGCGUAGGCGGCCUUGUAAGUCAGCGGUGAAAUUUUGCAGCUUAACUGUAAAAGUGCCGUUGAUACUGUGAGGCUAGGAUUUGGUUGCUGUGGGUGGAAUGUGUGGUGUAGCGGUGAAAUGCUUAGAGAUCACACAGAAUAUCGAUUGCGAAGGCAGCUCACAAAGCCAAGAUUGACGCUGAGGCACGAAAGUGUGGGGAUCAAACAGGA